rnacentral:rRNA from 1 species
GUAGGUGAACCUGCGGAAGGAUCAUUAAUGAAACUUCAAAGUCGGCCAAAGGUUGUUGCUGGUGAUUAUUCACAUGUGCACGCCUUUGGUCGCAAAUCCACACACACCUGUGCAUCUAUGACUCGAGGUUGUAAUGACUGAGAGUAACUUUUAUACACUCUUGUAUGUAAUGGAAUGUCUUUUUGUGCUAUAAUGUACAAUAUAAACAACUUUCAACAACGGAUCUCUUGGCUCUCGCAUCGAUGAAGAACGCAGCGAAAUGCGAUAAGUAAUGUGAAUUGCAGAAUUCAGUGAAUCAUCGAAUCUUUGAACGCACCUUGCACCCUUUGGUAUUCCGAAGGGUACGCCCGUUUGAGUGUCAUUGUAAUCUCACUUCUACAACUUUAUUGUUGUUUGAAUGUGGACUUGGAUGUUGCCGUUUUAUCACGGCUCGUCUUAAAUGCCUGAGUGUACCCUGUUUUGCAGCGUAUCCAGUGUAAUAAACAUUUCACUAGAGUUGGUCGAARGACCRCGUUGACUAUAUGGGCUCUAUGCUUCAAACCGUCUGCCAUGUGGACAAUUUCUUGACAAUUUGACCUCAAAUCGGGUGGGACUACCCGCUGAACUUAAGCAUAUCAAUAAGCGGAGGAAAAGAAACUAACAAGGAUUCCCCUAGUAACGGCGAGUGAAGAGGGAAAAGCUCAAAUUUUAAAUCUGGUGUCUUUGACUCCCGAGUUGUAAUCUAGAGAAGUGUUUUCCGUGUCGGACCGUGUACAAGUUCCCUGGAACGGGGCGUCAUAGAGGGUGAGAAUCCCGUAUAUGCCACGGACUACCGAUGCUCUGUGAUACACUCUCAACGAGUCGAGUUGUUUGGGAAUGCAGCUCAAAAUGGGUGGUAAAUUCCAUCUAAAGCUAAAUAUUGGCGAGAGACCGAUAGCGAACAAGUACCGUGAGGGAAAGAUGAAAAGCACUUUGGAAAGAGAGUGAAACAGUACGUGAAAUUGUUGAAAGGGAAGCGUUUGAAGUCAGUCGCAUCUGUUGGGGUUCAGCCUGGCUUUUGCCUGGUGUAUUUCCUUUCCGAUGGGUCAGCAUCAGUUUYGACCGAGGGAAAAAGACAUUUGGAAUGUGGCUGUCUUCGGGCAGUGUUAUAGCCUUGUGUUGUAUGUCUCGGUUGGGACUGAGGAUUGCAGCGCGCC